AUUGAACGCUGGCGGCAGGCCUAACACAUGCAAGUCGAGCGGAUGAGGAGUGCUUGCACUCCGAUUCAGCGGCGGACGGGUGAGUAAUGCCUAGGAAUCUGCCCGAUAGUGGGGGACAACGUUUCGAAAGGAACGCUAAUACCGCAUACGUCCUACGGGAGAAAGUGGGGGCUCUUCGGACCUCACGCUAUCGGAUGAGCCUAGGUGGGAUUAGCUAGUUGGUGGGGUAAAGGCCCACCAAGGCGACGAUCCGUAGCUGGUCUGAGAGGAUGAUCAGUCACACUGGAACUGAGACACGGUCCAGACUCCUACGGGAGUCAGCAGUGGGGAAUAUUGGACAAUGGGCGAAAGCCUGAUCCAGCCAUGCCGCGUGUGUGAAGAAGGUCUUCGGAUUGUAAAGCACUGUAAGUUGGGAGGAAGGGCUGUAAGUUAAUACCUUGCAGUUUUGACGUUACCGACAGAAUAAGCACCGGCUAACUUCGUGCCAGCAGCCGCCGUAA
rnacentral:rRNA from 1 species